GAACAUGAUCCAAUCGAACCCCUAACUAUGGUGAACAAUUACAACACUACGUUUACCCUGCCCGGAAUAGGGUUACUGGGACUCUUCCCUGGAGCCAGGCCUGGGGGUGGUGUCCGCAGGUGAGCGCUUGGUGGCCGGGCAGCCCAUGUAUCUCGGCCAGGCCCAGCCCAAAAAGACUACAUGGGAAAACCGUGUGGGCCCACCACCCGCAAGGUUCAGGGUAGGGGUCGGGUGCAAUGCUCGUCGGGCAGGGGGCAAGAACAGGGUAGAUCCGUGCACCAUCUGCCCAGACAACGGAAACUGAUUUUUGGCACGUGGAACAUUACCUCUCUGCUGGGGGAAGGAGCCGGAGCUGGUGUGUGAGGUUGAAGUACCAACUAGAUAUUGUUGGACUCUCCUCUACACACACUAUUGUCUCUGGAACCAAACUCCUGGAUAGGGGUAGUCUCUCCUACUUGGGAGUUGUUCAGGGUGAGAGGAGCUGGGCAGGAGUGGGGAUACUCAAGUCCCCGUCUGACCACUCUGUUGGCGUAUUCUGCAGUGGACGAGAGGGUCGCCUCGAUGCGACUGUGUGGCAGAGAGGAAAACUGACUUAUUUGCGCUUAUGCGCCUAAUGGCAGUUAAGAGUAUUCUGCCUUCUUGGAAAAGGUGGGAGGGGUGCUGGAAAAGGCCACACCUACUGACUCCAUUGUCCUACUCUUAGGAGACUUCAAUGCUCACGUUGGCGAUGACUGGGAAACUUGGAGGGGCGUGAUGGGGAGGAACGGGUUCUCUGAUCAGAACCCGAGCGGUGUUAUGUUAUUGGACUUCUGUGCUAGUCAUGGUUUGUCCAUAAUGAACACCAUGUUCGAACCCAAGGAUGUUCAUAAGUGUACAUGGUACCAGAACACCUUGAGCCAAAGGUCGAUGAUUGACUUUGUUUCAUCAGCCCUACAAACAUUUGUUUUGGACACUUGGGUGAAGAGAGGAGAAGAGAGGUCAACUGUUCACCAUCUGGUGGUGAGUUGGAUCAGAUGGCGGUGGAAGCUUCCAGGCAGACCAGGUAUGCCUAAACGUGUAGUGAGUCUGCUGGGAACGCCUGGCAGAAGACUCAGUCCGGAAUGAUUUCAACUCUAACCUCCAAGAGCUUUUCCCGUUUCUCGGAGGAGGUUGGGGACAUGGAGUCUGAAUGGACCUUGUUCAAAACCUCUAUUGUCGAAGCUGCUGCUAGAGGUUGUGGUCAAAAGCUGGUUGGUGCAUGUCCUGGCGGCAACCCAAGGACCCACUGGUGGACUCCAGUGGUGAGGGAGGCUGUUAAGCUGAAGAAAAAUGCAUUCCAGGCCUGGUUGGCUCUGGGAACCUCCGAUUCAGCAGACAGGUACCGGCAGGCGAAAAAGGCCACAGCUGCGGCAGUGGCAGAAGCAAAAGCCAGGGCAUGGGCGCCUCCCUUUUAGAGGUGUUCUGAGCUCGGCCACCAGGGAGGAGACCCAGGGGUAGACCAAGGACACGCUGGAGGGAUUAUAUCCAAAGGCUGGCCUGGGGAUUCACCGGGAUGAGUUGGCGGAAGUUGCUGGGGAGAGGGACGUCUGGGCUGCUCUGCUUGCCCCUUUGCCCUUCGCGACCCUGACCUGGAUUAAGCGGUUUAGAGAAUGGAUGGAUGGGUAUGUAAAUGCAAUUUUAUUAGGAGGUGAGGGCACUUUCCACAUUGUUUAUGCCCCCCCUCUACUAGUUUGAUUUUACUGCAGGAAUGGAAAAACUCCUGGAUCACCAGGAUCACAUCAUUAUUUCAGAAAUGGUCUGUAAAUGUCAGUCUACCAAACAUCAAAUGGAGCAAAGACAACAUCGUCUGGCAAUGACAAAGGUGUCUGAGACCGGGGAUCCCCUACGAUGGAGAGAGAGAGCCGGAGCCCGCACGAUGUAUGCAGCUGAAAAGCGACCCGUACAAUUUCAUUUAUUUUGUCUUGUUUUAGUUUGUUUUUUCCCAGAUCCUGUGAGGAUGAUGGGCAAAGGUUUUUCAUUUGUAUUUUGCGGAUUGCUCUCUCUCUCUCGCUCUCAAUAAAACGCCGGAGAUAUCCGGA